AAUAUUGGACAAUGGGGGCGACCCUGAUCCAGCCAUGCCGCGUGUGUGAAGAAGGUCNNNGGAUUNUAACGCACUUUAAGUUGNGGANAAGGGCUUUAGGCUAAUACCCUUAAGAUUUGACGGUACUGACAGAAUAAGUUCUGACUAAAUUCGUGCCAGAAGCCGCGGUAAUACGAAGGGUGCAAGCGUUAAUCGGACUUACUGGGCGUAAAGCGCGCGUAGGUGGUUUGUUAAGGUGGAAGUGAAAGCCCCGGGCUUAACCUGGGAACUGCUUUCAUAACUGCUGAGCUAGAGUACGGUAGAGGGUAGUGGAAUUUCCUGUGUAGCGGUGAAAUGCGUAGAUAUAGGAAGGAACACCAGUGGCGAAGGCGACCACCUGGGCUAAUACUGACACUGAGGUGCGAAAGCGUGGGGAGCAAAC
rnacentral:rRNA from 1 species